CCCACUUCUGACUUACCACUUUUCAUGAAUUCUAUGCUUCAUGGUGUUACACCGUUUAUUGUUUCUGAUGAGUGACAGUAAUUAUUUUCUUUCUUGCUGGUACAUAAUAAAGUGGUGCACAUCAGAGUUGCUGCCAUCUUAUAAUUAACUCAUCAGUAUCAGGUGAUCCUGAGGCUCAGUGAUGUCACUGUGGGAACUGCUCUGUGGGGACAAGGAUGUCCCUCAUCCUCUGCUCCUACUCACAGUGACUCUGAUCUGGUAAAGCCCCCAUCCUGGCCUGACCCUGCCAUGGGCACCAGGCUCCUCUGCUGGGUGGCCUUGUGUCUCCUGGGGGCAGAUCACGCAGAUACUGGAGUCUCCCAGGACCCCAGACACAAGAUCACAAAGAGGGGACAGAAUGUGACUUUCAGGUGUGAUCCAAUUUCUGAACACAACAGCCUUUAUUGGUACCAACAGACCCUGGGGCAGGGCCCAGAGUUUCUGACUGACUUCCAGAAUGAAGCUCAACUAGACAAAUCAGGGCUGCUCAGUGAUCAUUUCUCUGCAGAGAGGCCUAAGGGAUCUUUCUCCACCCUGAAGAUCCAGCGCACAGAGCAGGGAGACUCGGCCAUGUAUCUCUGUGCCAGCAGCUUAGCCACAGUUUGA